AAUAGACUUGCACUAGUGGGGCCCAAUCUAUCAUGAUAAAAAUAGUUGUGUGGAUAUUGUGGCUCAGGCUGUCAAGUCUAGGGGUUUGAGUGGGCUUGAGUACCCAAGCCACAACGUCUACAGUACUACUUGUAGUGCAUUCGCUUGAGCCCUGCUGGCACCAGUCUGUGGCACAGCUGUGGCACUUUAGGCAUUUGAAAGGCAAAGCUGACAGCUGUGUUUAGUGAAAAGGGAAGCCAUAAACAAUUAAGGCCUGCUGUGGUUUGAAGCUGUGUUUUUGAGGAGAAGGAGAUCUUCCUAAAUAGAAAAGGUAACAAACAGCUGAAAUAGAUCAUAACAUGAAGGACUCAGGAAAAGAAGGAAAUUUGUACUCGGAAUGGAAUAUUCCCUAAACACAAACAACUCUUGUCAACAAAAGCUCCUUUGGAACAGAAGACACCACCUGGAGAGAUUCCUGAGGUGGGAAAUUGGCUCCUAAUGAUGAUUUGUACUGAAGAGCGGUUGUUAUAGAAAGGUCCGUUCAUGUGAACAAAAUGAGAGAGGCAGAAACCUCACAGAAGUUAAUUACACCAAAGCUUCACCAGAAUAGCAGGGUCUUCCUACUAUGGGUAUAGAAGUUUGUCUGUUCAGCUCACCACAGCCUGAGUACAUCAGAUCCAACAUUCUACAUAUCCACAUACUUUCACACAGGAACAGUCUAUACUCAUUGACUUUGCUAGUGGUGGGAAGUUAUUUUUGCAAUAUGAAGGAACUAUGAAGGCUGAACCAUAUGGAAGAAUUGGAUUGCCUUAUGUUUCUCGAGGUAAUGUUAAAAUGAGUGUUUAGGUUUAUUCAUAUAGCAGAUCUGACACUGAUUAUAUUUCACUAAUUUCUGCACUUUCUAUCAUGUUUUUCAUCAUGGCAUUGUUUCCCCUAUACAAUAAUUGAGAGGACAUCAGGCUACAUGUGAUUUGAAUAAGUAGGUAUUCUCUGCUAAGACUCAUCAGACAAAAUAGUUUGUUACUGACU